CCGCCGACAGGACUACUAUCUUCUUCAUGCUGUAGAAGCAGGACUGGUUCCGAUUCCGGCUCUGGGUCCGGACUAAGCGGUUUCGGAACAGGCGCCUGGUGUGAAGGGUCUAAGCGUAUCUCCUGGAUUUCCUUGGAGACGCUGGGGAUUGUGGGGUCGUUGAUAGACGACUUGAAUUUGGAGUGUGCAGCAGUGUUGUUAGUCUUGUUGCGUUUAGAAGUGAACCAGAGAGAAAUAAGGAAAAGAACAAGAACUAUAGCGGCCCCAACACAGACACCAAUAACCACCCAUAAACGCAAACCGAAGAUUGAGGUUCUCUUGGACAUCUGAUCGUUCAAGAAAGAAUACUUAGACAUUUGUUUUUCUUUUUUCUUCUUCUUCUACUUACACUUGUUGUCUGUUCCUUGCGGCAGAACUCACACAGAAACCAUUGUCGCGUAAACAGAAGAAAGAAGAAAGAAGAAAGAGAUGCAGAGCAAUAAGUAUAGAGCAGUGGUAUAAUCAAGAAUGGUUU
rnacentral:misc_RNA from 1 species